rnacentral:rRNA from 1 species
AUUGAACGCUGGCGGCAGGCCUAACACAUGCAAGUCGAGCGAGCGGCGGACGGGGGAGUAAUGUCUGGGAAACUGCCUGAUGGAGGGGGAUAACUACUGGAAACGGUAGCUAAUACCGCAUACCAUCAGAUGUGCCCAGAUGGGAUUAGCUAGUAGGUGGGGUAACGGCUCACCUAGGCUACGAUCCCUAGCUGGUCUGAGAGGAUGACCAGCCACACUGGAACUGGUACACGGCCCAUACUCCUACGGUAGGCAGCAGUGGGGAAUAUUGCACAAUGGGCGAAAGCCUGAUGCAGCACUGCCGCGUGUGUGAAGAGGGCCUUCGGGUUGUAAAGCACUGUCAGCUGGGAGGCGUUACCCGCAGAGGAAGCACCGGCUAACUCCGUGCCAGCAGCCGCGGUAAUAC